GAAAUGCGAUACUUGGUGUGAAUUGCAGAAUCCCGUGAACCAUCGAGUCUUUGCACGCUCCCAACGAGACCUCAGGUCAGGCGGGGCUACCCGCUGAGUUUAA
rnacentral:misc_RNA from 1 species